UACGUAGGGGGCUAGCGUUGUCCGGAAUCAUUGGGCGUAAAGAGCGUGUAGGCGGUCCGGUAAGUCCGCUGUGAAAGUCGGGGGCUCAACCCUCGAAUGCCGGUGGAUACUGUCGGGCUAGAGUGCGGAAGAGGCGAGUGGAAUUCCUGGUGUAGCGGUGAAAUGCGCAGAUAUCAGGAGGAACACCGGUGGCGAAGGCGGGUCUCUGGGCCGAUACUGACGCUGAGGAGCGAAAGCAUGGGGAGCGAACAGG
rnacentral:rRNA from 1 species